UCUGUCUAAAACUCUCUUACCAACCAGAAACUCGGUACCUCACAGCAUCUGGAGGAAAACUUAGCCAUCUAUACCUCUCAAAAAUCGGCCAUCUCUCAAAUCUAAUAUCUCCUUACCCAAAACUAAUCUCUCCUUCAACCCCGACAUUCUUACUGUUUGCAUUCAAGUCCGGCUUAAUGGAGUUCUCCACCAGCGACUCAAGAGAUUAGAAGAAGCUGGACUAUUCUAUUUUCUAUUGGGUUAUUGGAAACAAAGGAAAUACAGUUUUGGAGAAGGAAAACCUAGAAGCGAGGGAUUUAGCCGCAAGGGAGGUACAAAAUUGACGUGUGUGAAGUUUGGGGGAGGAGAAGAUUUUGACAAACAUUAAGGUCAUAUGAUGUUUUGCAAGGUUAUCCUCUUGUAUUCAAAUUGGUUCCAUUAGUUGGCGUCAUUAUAUUUGCCAUAUGGGGUCUCGCACCACUUAUGCGUCUGAGCAGAAACCUAAUCCUUAGUAAGAAUGAUAG